UGGGGAAUAUUGCACAAUGGGGAAACCCGUAGCAUGCAGCGACGCCGCGUGAGUGAAGAAGUAUUUCGGUAUGUAAAGCUCUAUCAGCAGGGAAGAUAAUGACGGUACCUGACUAAGAAGCCCCGGCUAACUACGUGCCAGCAGCCGCGGUAAUACGUAGGGGCAAGCGUUAUCCGGAUUUACUGGUGUAAAGGGAGCGUAGGUGGCAAGGCAAGUCAGAUGUGAAAGCCCGGGGCUCAACCCCGGUACUGCAUUUGAAACUGUCUAGCUGGAGUGCAGGAGAGGUAAGUGGAAUUCCUAGUGUAGCGGUGAAAUGCGUAGAUAUUAGGAGGAACACCAGUGGCGAAGGCGGCUUACUGGACUGUAACUGACGUUGAGGCUCGAAAGCGUGGGGAGCAAACAGGAUUAGAUACCC
rnacentral:rRNA from 1 species